AAGUCGUAACAAGGUUUCCGUAGGUGAACCUGCGGAAGGAUCAUUAAUGAAUUGUAAUCGGAGUUGAUGCUGGUAGCUUGUGGCUGCAUGUGCUCGCUCCUUAACAAACACCUGUGCACAUUUAGAGAGAGGGUCUUCGAGUUCUCCUUGGAGUCCCUUCCUCUUAUUACACACUUUAGUCUAAUAUUGAACGUGAUUGUGCCGUGAGGCCUUAAUAUCAAUACAACUUUUAACAACGGAUCUCUUGGCUCUCGCAUCGAUGAAGAACGCAGCGAAAUGCGAUAAGUAAUGUGAAUUGCAGAAUUCAGUGAAUCAUCGAAUUUUUGAACGCACCUUGCGCUCCCUGGUAUUCCGGGGAGCACGCCUGUUCGAGUGUCGUGAAAUUCUCAAGCUGGGAUGUUUUCUCGGCUUGGUGUUGGGCUUUGCAGUUCCUUUGAUUGGGAUGGCUGGCCUCAAAAGUAUUAGCUGGCUUUUCAUGUGGGGAUUGGUUUGACUCAGCGUGAUAAUAAUCUGACCGCUGAGGACAUCUUCUGGCCAGAGAUGACCGAUUCUCAUUUGGGCUGCUUCUAAUCUUGGUGUAGAGCGGAUGCUGAAUCUGUUCCACUUUUUUCACCUUUUGACCUCGAAUCAGGUGGGACUACCCGCUGAACUUAA
rnacentral:rRNA from 1 species